CUUAGGAGCUAAGUUUUCUCUCAUCUCUCUCCAUUUUCCUCACAUGACCGACUGCCUUAGGACUGGUUUCCUCUGAAAUUUUUCUUCACAAAUACCUCAUCUCUCAUCACUCAUCUAUUCUACACUUAGUUCCAAGAGCUUGUGUACUAGUUUGAAGCUAAGGAAUCUACAUAUUAAGUUUGCUCCAAAAAGACUAAAGGUUGAGCAAGGAAUCCAAGGUGCUAGGAGACACCAAAAUUCAAACCAAAUUCUACAAAAGUGCUGACAACAACUAAAUCCCACAGAGUGCGGUAUCUACUGCAUGAAGUUUGCUAGGGAUCUCAUUUCACAAAAAAGAACCAGAGCAUAUCUAUCGAAUAAUGUAAUAAUUAAUUGUGUUUACCUUUUAACUUUAAUAAAUUUAUAUUUUAAUUACAUAUAUAUUUGACAUGUAACUUAUAAUUUUAAUUAUUUGCACUUCAAUUCAGAUUUACCGUAUACUGACGCUGAACUUAAUGAAGUUCAAGAGGAGUGGGAAAAAUAUAUUCUAACGCAUCUCGCUAUAUGUUAGGGGAUUUAGUCAUUUUUGGAACUUUGUAUUUCUUUUGUUAGAAAUUGUUAGAAAUAAUCAA